rnacentral:rRNA from 1 species
CAGUAGCCGCGGUAAUACGUAGGGUGCAAGCGUUAAUCGGAAUUACUGGGCGUAAAGCGUGCGCAGGCGGUUUGUUAAGACAGAUGUGAAAUCCCCGGGCUCAACCUGGGAACUGCAUUUGUGACUGGCAAGCUAGAGUCUGGCAGAGGGGGGUGGAAUUCCGCGUGUAGCAGUGAAAUGCGUAGAUAUGCGGAGGAACACCGAUGGCGAAGGCAGCCCCCUGGGCCAACACUGACGCUCAUGCACGAAAGCGUGGGGAGCAAACAGGAUUAGAUACCCCUGUAGUCCCUGUCUCUUAUAC